rnacentral:rRNA from 1 species
GUGGGGAAUCUUAGACAAUGGGCGCAAGCCUGAUCUAGCCAUGCCGCGUGAGCGAUGAAGGCCUUAGGGUUGUAAAGCUCUUUCAGGGGGGAAGAUAAUGACGGUACCCCCAGAAGAAGCCCCGGCUAACUCCGUGCCAGCAGCCGCGGUAAUACGGAGGGGGCUAGCGUUGUUCGGAAUUACUGGGCGUAAAGCGCACGUAGGCGGACCAGAAAGUCAGGGGUGAAAUACCGGAGCUCAACCCCGGAACUGCCUUUGAAACUCCUGGUCUUGAGGUCGAGAGAGGUGAGUGGAAUUCCGAGUGUAGAGGUGAAAUUCGUAGAUAUUCGGAGGAACACCAGUGGCGAAGGCGGCUCACUGGCUCGAUACUGACGCUGAGGUGCGAAAGCGUGGGGAGCAAACAGGAUUAGAAACCCGUGUAGUCC